UGGGGAAUAUUGCACAAUGGGCGCAAGCCUGAUGCAGCGACGCCGCGUGGGGGAUGACGGCCUUCGGGUUGUAAACUCCUUUCGCUAGGGACGAAGCUUUUUGUGACGGUACCUAGAUAAGAAGCACCGGCUAACUACGUGCCAGCAGCCGCGGUAAUACGUAGGGUGCGAGCGUUGUCCGGAAUUACUGGGCGUAAAGGGCUCGUAGGUGGUUUGUCGCGUCGUCUGUGAAAUUCCGGGGCUUAACUCCGGGCGUGCAGGCGAUACGGGCAUAACUUGAGUACGGUAGGGGUAACUGGAAUUCCUGGUGUAGCGGUGAAAUGCGCAGAUAUCAGGAGGAACACCGAUGGCGAAGGCAGGUUACUGGGCAGUUACUGACGCUGAGGAGCGAAAGCAUGGGUAGCGAACAGG
rnacentral:rRNA from 1 species